UCUGUAGCUCAGCUGGAUAGAGCAACGGCCUUCUAAGCCGUGGGUCGCGGGUUCGAAUCUUGCCAGAC
rnacentral:tRNA from 3 species